rnacentral:rRNA from 1 species
AUUGAACGCUGGCGGCAGGCCUAACACAUGCAAGUCGAGCGGUAGAGAGAAGCUUGCUUCUCUUGAGAGCGGCGGACGGGUGAGUAAUGCCUAGGAAUCUGCCUGAUAGUGGGGGAUAACGUCCGGAAACGGACGCUAAUACCGCAUACGUCCUACGGGAGAAAGUGGGGGCUCUUCGGACCUCACGCUAUCAGAUGAGCCUAGGUCGGAUUAGCUAGUUGGUGGGGUAAAGGCUCACCAAGGCGACGAUCCGUAACUGGUCUGAGAGGAUGAUCAGUCACACUGGAACUGAGACACGGUCCAGACGCCUACGGGAGGCAGCAGUGGGGAAUAUUGGACAAUGGGCGAAAGCCUGAUCCAGCCAUGCCGCGUGUGUGAAGAAGGUCUUCGGAUUGUAAAGCACUUUAAGUUGGGAGGAAGGGUCGUUACCUAAUACGUGACGAUUUUGACGUUACCGACAGAAUAAGCACCGGCUAACUCUGUGCCAGCAGCCGCGGUAAAAC